CAAAAACAUGUCUUUUUGAGUAUAAUUAAAAGUCUGGCCUGCCCAGUGAUUUAUUUAACGGCCGCGGUAUAUUGACCGUGCAAAGGUAGCAUAAUCAUUAGUCUUUUAAUAGAGGGCUGGAAUGAAAGGUUUCACGAGGAAUUGACUGUCUCAUUUUAUUUGUUUUAAAACUUAAUUUUUUAGUUAAAAAGCUAAAAUUUAAUUGGAAGACGAGAAGACCCUAUAGAUCUUUACAUAAAUUUAUUAAGUUUGCAGGAGAUAAUUGCAUUUUAUUUAGUUUAUGUUUUGUUGGGGUGACAAAAAUAAAAUUUAACUUUUUUAUAAUAUUACCAUUGAUUUAUGAAUAUAGGAUCCAUUCUUAGUGAUUAUUAGAUUAAGUUACCUUAGGGAUAACAGCGUAAUCUCUCUUCAGAGUUCAUAUUUACGGAGGGGCUUGCGACCUCGAUGUUGGAUUAAGAUAAUAGUUAGGUGUAGCCGCUUAAUAUAUAGGUCUGUUCGACCUUUAAAUUCUUACAUGAUCUGAG
rnacentral:rRNA from 1 species